UCCUGUGUAUUUAUCAUUGCGCUUGGAUGGACGCGUCCGUGGCAGUGGUGUUGGUUACCCUCCUUGGAAUGCUUUUGUUGCACAGUUGCCACCUGCAAAGGGAAUUUGGUCAGGUCUUCUAGAUGGCAUGGAUGGAAGAGUUCUUUAGGGAGUUUUAUUUUGUUUCCAGUUUUUUGAGGUUAGCUUCUUCUUUUUGGUUAUGGAGCUAGUUUCUUCUUAAAAUAUCAUAGUUAUCUCCAGUU
rnacentral:misc_RNA from 1 species